UGGGGAAUAUUGCACAAUGGGCGAAAGCCUGAUGCAGCAACGCCGCGUGAGUGAUGAAGGCCUUCGGGUUGUAAAGCUCUGUCUUUUGGGACGAUAAUGACGGUACCAAAGGAGGAAACCACGGCUAACUACGUGCCAGCAGCCGCGGUAAUACGUAGGUGGCAAGCGUUGUCCGGAUUUACUGGGCGUAAAGGAUGCGUAGGCGGAUUUUUAAGUGAGAUGUGAAAACCCUAAGCUUAACUUGGGGACUGCAUUUCAUACUGGAAAUCUAGAGUGCGGGAGAGGAGAAUGGAAUUCCUAGUGUAGCGGUGAAAUGCGUAGAGAUUAGGAAGAACACCAGUGGCGAAGGCGAUUCUCUGGACCGUAACUGACGCUGAGGCAUGAAAGCGUGGGUAGCAAACAGGAUUAGAUACCCUGGUAGUCCACGCCGUAAACGAUGAGUACUAGGUGUAGGAGGUAUCGACCCCUUCUGUGCCGCAGUUAACACAAUAAGUACUCCGCCUGGGAAGUACGAUCGCAAGAUUAAAAACUUAAAUGAAUUGAC
rnacentral:rRNA from 1 species